rnacentral:rRNA from 1 species
GACGAACGCUGGCGGCGUGCUUAACACAUGCAAGUCGAACGAUGAAGCCCUUCGGGGUGGAUUAGUGGCGAACGGGUGAGUAACACGUGGGCAAUCUGCCCUGCACUCUGGGACAAGCCCUGGAAACGGGGUCUAAUACCGGAUAUCACUCUUGCAGGCAUCUGUGAGGGUCGAAAGCUCCGGCGGUGCAGGAUGAGCCCGCGGCCUAUCAGCUUGUUGGUGAGGUAAUGGCUCACCAAGGCGACGACGGGUAGCCGGCCUGAGAGGGCGACCGGCCACACUGGGACUGAGACACGGCCCAGACUCCUACGGGAGGCAGCAGUGGGGAAUAUUGCACAAUGGGCGAAAGCCUGAUGCAGCGACGCCGCGUGAGGGAUGACGGCCUUCGGGUUGUAAACCUCUUUCAGCAGGGAAGAAGCGAAAGUGACGGUACCUGCAGAAGAAGCGCCGGCUAACUACGUGCCAGCCGCCGCAGUAAAAC